rnacentral:rRNA from 1 species
AACGCACAUUGCGCCCUCUGGUAUUCCGGGGGGCAUGCCUGUUCGAGCGUCAUUACACCACUCAAGCACAGCUUGGUAAUUAGGAGCCCGUCCCGGCAGGGGCGCUCCCGAAAAAUAGCGGCAGUGCGGCCGGAUCUCCCAGCGCAGUAAGAAUAACCAAACCCCUCGCUGAAGUGAAUCCGUCCGCCCUCGCCGGACAAGCCCGCCGGCCGCCCUCCCUCCUCCCACCGGGGGAAAAGAGGGCGUCGACACUUUUCAAUGGUUGACCUCGGAUCAGGUAGGGAUACCCGCUGAACUUAA